UAAUGAAUCCAUUUCAAUUUUUCCUCGUGGUAUUAUAACGCCUCGACAAAUCGAUGUAUCGAAAUAGCGAGAAUCGAGAAUAUCGUAUUAUCGAUAUAUCACUCUCGCACGCCGCGCGUCUAACAUAACAAAUUCAAAUUUUGAACUGAUUGUGAAGUAGAUUUAUCUUGGAGUAAUGAAGAUAGAAUACAAAAUACUAAAGUUCCCGAACGAGGAAUGAGUUUGGAGGAAGCAGCAGAGAAAAAAUGAAGCAUGUGUUUUCGUUUAUUCAUCGGCGGGAAUGACUGUGACGAUGUGGAAACGAGUGCGGGCACGAGAGUUACACGCGAGACAGAUUAACCGUGAUGAGAGGACAGUCUACAAGUUCCUACUCAUCAUUUUCCUCCGCUAUCGGGAAGGAGCGUACCCCGUAUGCGUUCCGCCAUAGGUGUAAACAUACAGAAUGAUUCCUAAGUAAGUGUAAAAGAUUUAAGGAGAUUUUUAUUUUAUGAAGAAAAUAUUAAAACGUUUUUGAGGUUUUCAUUUUUCUUUUCUCAACUUAGAAACACUUUGUGUUUUGAAAACAAAGUACUUUAAGAUAUAUGUUUAUUUUUUCUUCAUAAAAUAAGCCAAAGAAUAAACUUUUUACUCUUAAAUCUUUUGUAUUGAAUCAUUCUGUAUACAGGUUUAUGUAAAAGUAACAA
rnacentral:lncRNA from 13 species